rnacentral:lncRNA from 1 species
AAUUUCUUGUAUUUGAGGGGUGUUUGACCCCCAAGCUAUCAUCUAAGAGCACACAACUUGUGAUGUGUGGGUUACUCGCAUGUCACAAGAUCACAUCUUGAUACAGACAAAAGCCUAGUGUUUAAGUAGAGAAUGGUAGAGGGACGGGCAUGUUAUCCGUCGUAUUUGGAUCUAUAUUCCAUUUGACCUAGUUUCUCUGUUAUCCAUCGUAUUUGGAUCUAUACUCCACUCCUAGUCACUAAGAAGUGUUAUCCUGUCCUCCGGGGGACUGAACUCUACCAAUAGGUUCUUUCUCUCAGGUAAUUUACGCCCAAAGGUGAACCUUAGGAUUUGUACUAACGGAAAAGUUUGCUAACUGGAAGGCAAUAGAAUCAGCCGAUAGGCACAGGCAAGGCGAAUCAUUUAGAUAAGCUACCAAUUAAGGGGUCAGUGGAAAUUCUGAAUAUUUUGAUUUAUGCAUUUUCAUGUCUAGAUUUUGUUCCAAAAAUGUUACUGAUGAUUAUCUAACUAAUCUAUACAAAUGCUCUUUUCUUUGGUAAGAUCCACAGCUCAUCAACAUAUGCACCAGGCCAGGAAUUUCUUGAAAAUAACAUCAGAGUAAAACCAGAUUUAGAUGCCCUCGGGGCAUUGGGAGAUGCAGGCUGGUUCUGCAUUGGCUCGAUAUUGUGGGCUAUGAACCAAACUUUGUUAAUGACUGUGACUGUACUGCCUAAUGUUGCAAGAAACUCAGCUGGAGUUAUCUUAACAUGUAGUGCCUCCUUGUAUUGGGAAAAAGAGGAAACCGUUGCUACAUUUUACUGCUCUUUCAUUGCACACGAGACAAUGAACUUGCGAGUUUAUGGCUCUAAUGGGACAUGUUAUCUCUAUGACUUCAUUAUCCCGUUCGAAGAGGACUCUGCUUCGUUCAAUUUCACAUCUAGUGCUAAGUUUGUGGAUCUUCAUAUCGGAUGGAAUGUGAAACCUCAAGUAGUUGAAGUAACUUCUCAGUUACCACAAGAGGGUUAUAUGAUUCAAGAAUUUGCUGACCUGGUUAAGGCCAUUAAAGUUUCGAGAAGCAAACCUGAGAUCAAAUAGCCUCAUACUAGUAGAAUCACUCAGCUCGUGCUCGAUGCUGUGAACAAAUCUAUGGACACGGGUUUCCAGCCAGUUCAUAUGUAAAUGCUAAUGCUCAUUUAUGAUUCUUUAUUUAACGUUAAGAAAAAAAAGUAUCUAAAAAAUAACACAUUAUAUACCAUGUGUAAGAGAGUUUAUGUAUGGACCUUUAACUUGAUCAAGAUGAUUUGUUGAGCUUGUACAUCAUCUAAUAGCUUCUUAGUUCCUUAUCUUUUAUCAUUGUCUUUUACUCAUAUGCUAUCUCACAUAUCAAUGUAUAUAACUUAAAUCCACGUUUAUGUACUUCCCAAGUAUGUAAAUUAAGCACACCGAUCUGAGUAUAUAAUUUGAAUUUUGUCCAUAUAGAUACUUCAACUCCUGGGAUUUGAAUAGUGAAGUACCAUAUAUGUAUCAUUUUAAGGCAUCAAAGACACUAUUUUGAAACAAGAAAAGAAGAUUUUGAGCGUAAACUCUCAUCUCUAGAUAUUGUCAUUAUAUAUAUAAACUCUAAGCCAUGAAUACAAAGCUUUAGUAAGAAAGGAGUCUGGUAAUAGUGACAACAACAAAAAUACCAACACCCUUCUAACUCAGAAACAAAUCAAUUACACAAAAGACACUCAAUUCCCCUUCAUUUUUAUUUAUCACUAAUUGCAUUUACGCAAGUAGUGUCAUAUUCAAUAUGCAUCAACAUAAGAUUGAACAAUCAAAUCCACAAAAAGACACUUGCACGAAUGAAUCAAUUAACAAUGAGCUACACAAUUGCUAUUAACAAAAAAGUCAUACAUUUGAGAUAUGCAGUAGGAUAGAAAGUAGUAAUGUCAAAUUAUGUUUGUCCCUCCUUCAACUUCGUAAGCUGUUUUCUGAGUUGCUCAUGGAAAUGUUCGGUUAUAGCAAUUCUCGUGUCAAGGGUCCGAAGAGUGUUCUCGGACUUUUGUACCGCUGAAUCAACAGAUGCUUUGGUUCAAUUAGGCGUUGCAGAUACAUCCCACAGCUUAUCAUCAUCAUCAGUCUAAAUAGAAAAAAAUCUUUAAAUAAAAUAGAAAAAGUUUGAACAGGAACGGUUAUUUGAUUAAAGAAUUUAAAUCGAGAUAGAUGUUACCCUCUUGUUCAGGUAUAACAAAAAUUUUUUAACUGUAGGCUUAACAGCGGUAGGAUCCAAGUAGAAGCAACAUUGUGUCACGGACUUAGAAUAUUUGCUAAGACUCCGUGCGGCACUCGACAACUUACUCACGAAUCUUUCACGAUCUUAUAAGCUCAAGUAAUCCUUUAAGACUCGGAACGCUAAGAGAAUGUAAAGAAAGACUUAGAAAGAACUUUGAAAGAGGGCUUGUAUUAAGCUUGGAAGCUUUUCUUACAACUCUUGGUUGGAUUGUUGGAUGAAUGAUUUACAAAUGAGAGGCCCUCCUAUUUAUACUACAUCCUAAGGGCCUAAGUGUAAAUAAAAUUUACUCUAUAAGUCCUUCUAAUAACUACACUAUAGUCUAUAUUCUAGAGAAUUCUACAUUUUCUAGAAUAUGCUAAUCUCUUCCAAAAAGAUCUAAUUAAGGAAUUCUCUAGUCUUCUCCACAAAACUAGAAGGUUCUAGAGUUCUCUGCAAACCUCUUCAAGACUCUAGAUCCUUCCACCCCUAUUCGGACGUCAAAUCAGGUUGGAAUUGUGGCGGGACAUCACAAUUGACAUCUGAAGUAGUAAGAUUAACAACUGAACUUGUAUCAGCCGUCAUAGCUGCAGCUAUGAUUCUGUUUGCAUCCAAAAAAAAAUUAACUCUAGGCUUAAUAGCGGUAGGAUCCACUUGGGAAAUAGAAGUAGAAGCAGCAUUGGCAGCUGUAGUAGUAAGAUUAACAACUGAACUUGUAUCAGCCGUCAUAACUGCAGCCAUGAUUCUGUCUGCAUCAUUUUCUUGCGAAUCCAAAAUGGCAAGAUCUGAAUAUUUUAUCCAAAACUCUCUCUUUUCUUUUUCACCAGCCUCAUCAUUUGUCACUUCUUUUGCUUUUCCUUUCCCCUGAUCUUGACAAAUAUACUUCCCAUUUCCUUUAUCAACGGAAACCUCAUUUCCAAUGGGAGUUAUCUCAAAAUCCUUUUUCCAUAGUUCCUGCAAUUUAUUUGCAAUAUUUAUUUGCUGAACGUUACGUCAAAACUCCUUACGAAGGGCACCGUAAUUACCAUCGUGUGAUAACAACAGUAUUUCAAGUUGCUCUAAAUUCUGCGUGGCACCCUCCAAUGAUCAGCAAUUACAAUUAUCUCUUUUUACCUAUUUAUUUUUAUUAUUUAUUUCUACUUCAAAUUUAUACGCUUUAAAAAACUGAAAAUGUUUAAAAGCAUUACCCAAUUAAUAACAUUUAAGUGAAUGGAAGAUGAAGAGAUCAAAAACUUUUUAUAUAAAAUAGAAAUAUUUGAUAUCCACAAGCAACAACAAUAGACUCUUUUCCUCUUCUUCUUCACAUCAAUCAAUUUUUGAAUAUCAUGUUUUUAUAAAACAAAAAAAGGUCAUGCAACAAGUGUACCUACACAAAAUAAAAGACUUUUUUUUGCAAGGAUGUUGCACUAUAAUUUUUCCUACAAAAAGAUAUUUAUUGAAAAAAAUAUUUAUUUGAUUGAAAAAUUCAAGCGUACCUCUUCAAAAUACAAGACUUUGUGAAAGAAUGUUUCACUGUAAUUUUUUCUACAAAGAGAUAUUCACUGGGAAAAAAUUUCAUGUGAUUGAGAUUUUUACAAGGGUGAAACGUGUUCAAAGGGCAAGAAGAAUAUUUAGAAAAAGAAUCCAUUUAUUUAUGGAAUUCAUAUCAAAUUAAGAGGAGAAUAAAAAUGAAUUAUUUUGGAGAAAUAAUUGAUAUAUUUAUGAAAUUCAAAUCAAAUUAUGAAGAGGGUAAGAAAAAAUGUGUUUUCUAUUGGCUCCAAAAUUCCUUUUCAUCCAUAUAUUGGCUCCAAAUUUAACUCUUUAAAUAUUUUUUAAAAUACUUAGCGUUCAACUAUUGAUUAUAAUUUAAUUUAUUAAUAUAAUUUAUGAACAAACUCACUACCUACUCAUUACUAACUAAACCUCACCCAAUUGAUAAUCCAAUUAUAAUAUCAAAAUCGCUAUAAAGACUACUAAAAUACGAUGAAAUUAUAGAUUCCUAAAAAUUACAUCCAAAAUUAUUCGAAUUCGAUUCGAAACCCCAAUUAAAUUUAGAUUGAGCCACUUAUUUAGGAGAAGACUUUCAAUAGGAUUCUCUUUCAAGAUUGAAUUAGAAAUUUUAUGAUAAAAGGUAAAGAAGUAAUACAUCCCGAAUUAAUUCAUGCACUUUCAAAAAAUAUAAUUUUAUAAAUAUUUAUGAUUUGUUUUAAAACUUUUAAUAUAUUAUUUUGAAAAAGAGUUACCUAUGUAACAUCACAUAAUUGAGACUUAAGAAUGAUUAAGAUGAACAUAGUCAAACUUUUAAGUUAAAAAUAUCGAUAAACUUAAAAUUUCAGUCGAAAUUUGAGUUCGAAAUCUAGACCUAGAGAUUGACUAAUUCAUAUUCAUCUUAUAAUCGGAGUUUGAAAUUGAGACCUUGAUUAAAAGAUUGACUAAUUCAUAUUCAUCAUUCGAAAAAUGCAUUUUCUAUCAAAAGAUCUUUUUAUAGUUAAAUUAGAAAUCGAAUUAAGGAGCCGUCAAGUUUUGUGGCUAUACCAUAUGCCACCUAAUAUUUUCUCACCAAUAUCUAUCCCCACUAUAAUCAAGAUUCAUCAGAAGAAAAAAAAACAAAAUCAACAAUGUCAAAUGAUGAAACUCCAAUUCGUUUUGGCAUCAUAGGAUGUGCAGAAAUUGCAAGAAAAAUCUCAAGAGCUAUUAAUUUAUCCCCAAAUUGUACUCUUUAUGCCCUAGCAAGUCGUUCAAUUGAAAAAGCUCACAACUUUGCAAUCAAGAACAAUUUAUUUUCUGAUUCUUUGAAGAUUUAUGGAAAUUAUAGUGAAAUUCUUGAUGACCCUUUUGUUGAUGCUGUGUAUAUGCCAUUACCCACUACUUUUCAUCUUCAGUGGGCAAUUUUAGCCGCUGAAAAGAAGAAACAUUUGUUGUUGGAAAAACCUACUGCUUUGAAUGUUGAAGAAUUGGAUAAGAUUCUUGAUGCUUGUGACAAAAAUGGGGUUCAGUUUAUGGAUGCUAGUAUGUGGUAUCAUCAUCCAAGAACUGGGAAAAUGAAGGAGAUGAUUCUUGAUUCUAACCUAUUUGGACAAGUUAAAGCUGUAAGUUUUAGAGGGUGUUUUUUUAAAUGGCAUAUCUAGACACCUCAACUUGGUCUCAAACACUCCAACUUGUCCCUAUGGAUAUCUGAUGUGGACGUGACACGUAAAGUUGGAGUGUUGAACUGAUGUAGUGGAGACGAGUUGAGGUUUUUAGACGUGGACUAUCGUAGUUGGAUUGUUCAGUUACUUGGUCUCAACUAGCAAUUAAAAUACUCCAACUUGUCCUUACGGUGUCUCGUGGACACCUAACACUGACUUGACUCAUUAAGAUGGAGUGUUCAACUGAUGCAGUGAGACGAGUUGAGGUGUCUAACAUGUGGAGUCUCAAAGUUGAGUCUUUAGUUGCUAGUUUGAAUGAACCUAUUUUAAUUAUAGUACGAUGUUCAAAUUUACAAUUCAGAUAUAUCUCAGUUUUAACUCCGUUAUACUUUAGGAUAAUUUAUGUCCAUACUAUUAGGAAUUUUUCCCGCAUUUGAGGCAUUUGGCAUUACCCUCGAGCUUUGUUCUAGUGGUAAGAGGUCAUCUUGUAUCGUUAGAAAGCUUUCUCAUAUUUGGGUUAUUUGGACCCUGAGCUUUGGUGUAAUGGUAAGAGCUCAGCUUGUACAGUUAGCAAAUUGUCUUGUAUUUGGGGUAUUUGGACCCCGAUCUUUGGUGUAGUUAUAACUAGUAAGAGCUCAGCUUGUACGGUUAGCAAAUUGUCUCAUAUUUGGGGUAGCAAAUUUUCUUGUAUUUGGGGGGUGUUUGACCCCCAAGCUAUCAUCUAAGAGCACACAACUUGUGAUGUGUGGGUUACUCGCAUGUCACAAGAUCACACCUUGAUACAGACAAAAGCCUAGUGUUUUAGAGAAUGGUAGAGGGACGGGCAUGUUAUCCGUCGUAUUUGGAUCUAUAUUCCAUUUGACCUAGUUUCUCUGUUAUCCAUCGUAUUUGGAUCUAUACUCCACUCCUAGUCACUAAGAAGUGUUAUUCUGUCCUCCGGGGGACUGAACUUUACCAAUAGGUUCUUUCUCUCAGGCAAUUUAUGCCCAAAGGUGAACCUUAGGAUUUGUACUAACGGAAAAGUUUGCUAACUGGAAGGCAAUAGAAUCAGCCGAUAGGCACAGGCAAGGCAAAUCACUUAGAUUAGCCACCAUCUUAUUCUAGGAUUCACCAAUUAAGGGGUCAGUGGCAAUUCUGAAUAUUUUGAUUUAUGCAUUUUCAUGUCUAGAUUUUGUUCCAAAAAUGUUACUGAUGAUUAUCUAACUAAUCUAUACAAAUGCUCUUUUCUUUGGUAAGAUCC